AACCUAGCACACCUGCGGUGUGUACCUGCGGAGGGAUCAUUACCGAGUUUACAACUCCCAAACCCCUGUGAACAUACCACUCGUUGCCUCGGCGGAUCACCGCGCCCCGUGAAACGGGCCGGCCCGCCAGAGGACCUAAACUCAAAUGUUUUAUUGUAUCUUCUGAGUAAAAACACAAAUAAAUCAAAACUUUUAACAAUGGAUCU
rnacentral:misc_RNA from 1 species